AACUGCUCUCCGGGAUGGAAGAGGGAGAGAUCACUUUUGAAUGUGCAGUCAGGGCAGGAUUCCUGGAGACAGUAUCUGAAGAGCAAGGGAGGGUAUUUACCUGGAGACAGUGGAAUCAAAAAACGGAAGCAUGGAGUGAGGAAGUGAAAGGUUAAGAAAAAAGCACUGGAAACCCACCUGCCGAAUUUGGAAUAGAACUGCAUCGAGAAUUUGAAAUGAACGGGUGCCCCCUGAUGGAGAUUUACAGAACUUGGUGGAUUCAGUCUGACUAUUCCAACUAGGAUUAAUCAAGGUGAAAAUAACUUGUAAGCAGUCUACUCUUUACAAGUCUCCUCACAUAUGACCUUAUUUGAUUAGCAACUCAGAUGGUUCUCUUCCAAAGGAAAUUUAAAAAGAAAUGGUUAAGGACUUCGUGAAGUGAAAGUGUAGAAAGAAAGGUUAGGUGCUGGAGCUGGACACAGAGGAGGUUACCAGAGCACACAGUGGAGAUUUGCCCACUCCCACAGUUAUAGAGAUUGCCAACACUGUAACAAAUUGAACUACAGCAAAAAACCAUCAGCCCAGUUCACUAAAAGUUAUCCUGCUGCAAAAGUGUUCUAAUUGAGCUUGAUAUUGGUCCAGGCUAAGCAGUCUUCCAGCUAAUAUGCGAAACCAGGGAUGACUUGUAGUUCUUUACCUAAUUUCAUCAGCUGGAGUCAAGAGACAUUCAUUUACAGCUGGCUCAUUAUGCCUUUCUCUCCUUGACCAUAAGUCACUUACUUAGUUGCCGAAUGAGGUUUGUUGACUCUGGGACCAAGUCACAGCAUUGCAGAGUCUAUACAGUCACCCUCAAAUCCUUGGGCAGUCAUCCAGGAAAGAACUAGAAACAUAAGGAGCACCAAGUAAGCAGGACCAUGUGAAAGGAAAGAAACCAGCUCUUGUUCCAUUCAGUAAAAUCUCAAAAAGUUGCACAUCUGAUUCAUCUUUGAACUAUUUGAAUGAUGGUAUUUGCAAGGUAAAUGAAGAGCAAAACCAAGAUUGUGAUAGGAAAUGUUUAACUUAAGAAAACAGGUCCAGAAAAAGAAAAGGCUUUAAAAAAGAAAAAACAGGUCUAAAGCAAGUUGAGUACCAAUCCUAAGAGUCUUUCUUGUUCCUUAAAGUCUGGUUCUCAAAUUC
rnacentral:lncRNA from 12 species